rnacentral:rRNA from 1 species
CCUACGGGGGGCAGCAGUGGGGAAUAUUGCACAAUGGGGGAAACCCUGAUGCAGCAACGCCGCGUGAGUGAAGAAGUAUUUCGGUAUGUAAAGCUCUAUCAGCAGGGAAGAAGAUGACGGUACCUGAGUAAGAAGCCCCGGCUAACUACGUGCCAGCAGCCGCGGUAAUACGUAGGGGGCAAGCGUUAUCCGGAUUUACUGGGGGUAAAGGGAGCGUAGACGGUGAGACAAGUCUGAAGUGAAAGCCCGGGGCUCAACCCCGGGACUGCUUUGGAAACGGCCUGACUGGAGUGCGGGAGAGGCAAGCGGAAUUCCUAGUGUAGCGGUGAAAUGCAUAGAUAUCACGCAGAACUCCGAUUGCGAAGGCAGCAUACCGGCGCCCGACUGACGCUGAGGCACGAAAGCGUGGGUAUCGAACAGGAGUAGAUACCCCGGUAGUC